rnacentral:lncRNA from 1 species
CACAUCUGAUUUUCAGGCAUUAUGCGAUUUGCAGUAAAUUGGAAAUUGUUAUGCAAAGUACAGUAGGUAUCUUUAGAACUUUGGAAACAAAUCCUUACAUGGUAGCUUCUACUUCAGGGUCAAUUUCCACUGGCACUUUAGGAGCACUAUUGCCACCUCUCAAACGUGAAGAUACAUUGUCAAUAGCAUUAUUAAGUUGGCUGAUUUUCGCGUUCAAGGUCUGCCUGGUCCUCUGCUUCAGAGGAAAGGGAAUACAAUUCAAAGUUUGAAGAGAAGGAACAAUAUAACCUCAUGUUCCAAGUAAGAGUGAAUAAUGGUUACCUCUAAACCUUCAUCAUAAUAAAUUGGUCGCUUGGCCCUCCGAAAACCAUACUCAUCUUCAUUCAGCAUUAGAUCAGACAUAAAGCAUUUUAACUGUGACUUCAGUUAGCAUUUUAACUGUGACUUCAGUUGCUUUUGGAGGCUCUACUUGGAUCUCUUCCACUUUCCAUGGCUCUCCUUUUCCCCAACAUACAACAGCUGCAAAACGCAUAGAUAUUCAAAAAAAUUUCCCAUAGAAAAUAACAGUUCAUAAAAAUUGAUUUUAGUCUGUGAAUUUACUAUAUUAAUUAAAACCUUUUUACAUACCUUUGCAUGUUAUGGCUUGUGAAAUGCUCAUCUUUAUUGCUGGAGACUUUUUUUUUUUUUUUUUUUGAUAGGUGGAGACUUGUUGAUUUUACAGCCUCAAGAGUUCAAACUAAUCUGUAUAGUUGAGCGUAGGAGCAGGCCGAUUUAAUUUACAGUGCGGUCUGUGCACCUGCCACCUAGUAUAUGUACCUUCCAUAUUUUCCAUAUCCCGUUGACCAUUAGAUCUGAAACACAAGUUGUUUCAACGGCGUGGAUGCAUUUUUUCCAUUCAGGUUUUUAACACUGAUGUCCCUGUUGUUUUCUGAAAAUAAAAAAAUGUCAAGCGUUUUAAAAUUUGAUACAUAUUUUUGAAUUGUUUCAAAAUUUUAAACUUUGGUCGAUUAACUUAAUUUGAUUGUUAAAAUUAAUGAUAGUAUAAGGACAAUAGCCCACUAAAAAUAUUACUUUGUUGUGCAAAAUCUAUUUUUUUUUUAAACAACAUAAAAUACAAUUAAUAAUUUAUGUAUGUAAAUAUUUUAAUUUACCACUACUAAGAAUAGAUGACCAAAUAAUGAACAUGCCCUGUUUGGUAAUUAUACACACACACACACAAAACUCUUUGGCACCCACUUUUUCAUAAAAAUGUUUGUUACCAAAAUAUCGCAUAGUAAUUGACUAAAAUACAUGAUAAUAUUGCAAAAAUCAUAACUUUCUUUAAACAUGAAUUAAACAUAAUUUUAUUAAAAGGAAGAAAAAUAUCUACUAAUCUAUAGGAAGAAAUCUAAACAUAAAAUUAGAAUUAUAACCAACGAAGAAGAUGACGCAUGUGGAAAAAAAGAAAAAGAAGAAAAAACUACUCUUUGUUGUCUAUUUAAACUCAUAAAUAUACUCUUUAAACUCCGCCUUUUUUUAAAAUAAUAAUUUAGAUUAUAAACGUGGGUCAUAGUAAUUUAGAUUCAGUGCUAAUUGAGUUGUACACUGAUGUUUUUAUAAUUUUCUGAUGUGCAUACAUUUUAUAGUAGUGUAAUAAGAUUAAGAUUAAUUAUACCUAUUUUUUAUCCAAUAAUUUCAUAUAUAACAGGGCCCAUAGGCGAAAAUAUUUAAGUUAGUCUCUCAAAUUUGAAGCAAAGUAAAGAUAUUAGUUCCCUAUUGCUAUGCCAAUCAAAAUACAAAUAUUUUGUAAAAAAAAAAAGAACUAGUAACAACUACAGAGAAAAGUCUAAAAAAUGGGACCUCGAAAAAUAGACGUGAAAAAUGACAAAGUCUGAAAGUCAUAUUAAAAGCUAUAUAUACACAUAGGGUCUAGAUCUAGAUCUACACGAUUCAUUCAAAAUAUUGCAUUUUAAAUGUUUUAUUGUAAAACAACAAUAUCUAAUAAUGUAAGAAAGUUGGAAUUUUCAUACAUUACUCACUGGGGAGGAUUAGUAAAAAAACAAAACAAAACAAAAAAAAAAGUUGUGUAAGAUUGACUUACGGUCAACGAAUAUGCUCUCAGAUGGUAGAUAUAGAUUUCAUUGCAGGACCCAUGAUUUUUCAAUAAUAAAUUUUUUAAUUAUGAGACUUGCAGCUCAAAUUAAUAAUAAAUUUUUAAUAAUGAGACUUGUAGCUCAGUCAUUUAAUAAAGGAAGUGGUUGGCUCCACUGACAAUAGAGUCCGCUUAAGUGGCUUGAUUGAGUUUGCUCUCCAGUUCCAGUCGUAGGAAAGUCGUCUUUGUUGGGAGAAUCUGUGUCUCCCGGUUCGAGCGAGAACUUCCAAUCUAAGUUGUGGUACAGACUUAAAAGUGUCUCCUAUAGUUGGGGCCCUUCCCAGAAUACCUCGUGGUUAAGACAAAAAAGAAAAAAGAAAAAAAGGAUGUGGUUGGCUCUUGAUAGAUGAGUUUUGCACAAGUCCUUCCCGAUUGUUUACCAACAACCAUAUUGACCAAAUUAAGUACAAUAGCAGCGGCGGCUGACUAGGCAAGCAACCAAGCAACUUGGGCAAUCGCCCCCGAUAAAAUUGAGAUUCCCAUUCAUUCAUCAUUAAUUAAUAAAUAUGAUGAGUCUUUUUCUAAUAACUAAAUUUUUUAUAUUUCCUUUAUAUUUUAUAAUCAGCGGUCAAACAUGUAUGUCAAUCAUUCACGUUCCCAACUUUCCAUAAUCUUUAAUUACUGCAUUAAGUGUUAUUGUUGUUAUUAUUAUUUUAAUCACGUAUUCAAUGUUCAUUGAUGUUUCCUUAAUUAAGUUUUCUUACCUUCAUUCUAAUCAAACUUCAGACUGGAAACUUAAUAUUUUUUUCCCCGUGAACUUAUUCUUUCAUAUAUUAGUUAUAUUCUAUCAAUACUAUCUUUCCCUAUGAUUAAACCAAAAAUAAAAUGAAAGUGUUGCCGUCAAGAUUUUAUUUACUAUCAUAUAUUAGUUUUGCGCAUUGCUAUAAUUAUACUUAAUAUUACAACCUGAUGUUUUAUUAAUAUCUUUUCACAUUGUCCAUUAACUUUUUUUUUUUUUGGUUUCUGUUACUAUUUUUUUUUAGUAUCCUUCUAUCAUUCGAAAUUUAAAUCGAUUUUAUUAGUUUUAGUGCUCGUGAUAAAAUGUAUGCUUGCAGUUAAUCUUUUAAAAUGAAACUAUUAAAAUAGAGCGAUAAUAUCUCUACCCCACAUUUUUUGUGAAUCCACCCCAUUUUCAAAAAAUAGCUAUAAAAGUUGCACAUUAUUUUUAAAAUUUUCAAAUCAAGAAGAGUUUUAAGAAUUAAGUAAUUAAAUCUAUCUUAAUCCACAUUUUUGCAACUUAGAUUUUUUUUAAUAAAUUUGAUUACAAAGAUUGCUUUGUAAAAUUAUCAAUACUUUACUUUAACUUCAAUCUUUUUUUAAUUUGUACCAAACUCAUUAUUUCUAAUACUACUUUAUUAGUAUGAUUAUUAUUUUUUAAUUAAACUAACAUAGUGUCUUUAUAGCAAAUUCUCUUGUAAAUCAUUAGGCUAUUAAAUUUAUGUCAUUUACACAUAAGGGUAGUGAAAUAACAAUUAGGUUUCAUUUAAAAAUAUUAGAUUAUAAGUCGCAAAAUUAAAUACCUAAAUUAUUAGAUAUAAUAACUCAUACUUUAUGAGGGUAAUUUUAUCUUCUUAUAUCAUAAUAAUAAAAUAAACUUUAUCAUUAAAGAUGGUCAAAGAACCUAAGAAAAGUUAACAAAAUGAUUUAAUUAAUUAACUGUAUAAAACUUUUAUUAAUUUGUAUUUUUUAAGAAUAUUGUGAACUCAUUAUAAUUAUUUUCUAUAAGUGGGGUGGAUUUACAAAAAAAGUGGGUGGAAAUAUCCCCAUCCAUCAAAAUAAACAUUAAAUCAAUUUUUUUUAGUAAAAUUAAAAAGUUCUGGUUUCAACCAUAUCUACUCAAGCUUUUUCCUCCGAAAAUUUAAAAAAGAAAUAUUGUCCGUUUCUGGUUGAAUUACUUUCUGGUUGAAUUACUUUGGAGUCCUUAUUGUUUGUUGUAAAAUACCAAAGAUGAGAGGUUUUAAAAUUUUGACACACAUGUCCUACUUAUAUUUCAAUUUUUUUUACAAAAUAAGACCAAAUAUUUGAACAGCAGUUCAUGAAAUUAUAAAAAUUGCUUUACAAUCUAUGAAUUAAUUAUAUUAACAACUUUUACCUACUUUUGGAUGUUACGGCUUGUAAACUGCUCAUCAGCUUCAAAGUUCAAAUUAUCUAUAGACUUAUGCUUUGAAUGGAGGCAAAUUUUUUAUUGUUACAAAUUCAUCGGCUUGUUCCACAAAAAAAAAAAUUAUUUUAUUAAAUUAGAUUCCAUUGCCAGUUGCAAGCUGAAAUUUUGGCUUAAUUACUAUCAUAAAAGCUUUUUUAAGUAGAUAAUUUCGUUUUUCAGUUAUUUCCUAAUAUGGUUAACACAUAUUAUUUUAUCUUUUAUAAAACAACUAACAAGAGACGAGAUGCCAUAAAAUGAUCAAGAUUAUGACUAAUAACGGUGAGAUUCUUUUUCUCUUAUUUUUUUUAGCAUAUCCUUCUCUUUUUCAUAUAUAUAUAAUCAUUUUCAAGUGCGGACACCCUUAUUUUUUGUUUUAAUACGGACACACUAUUAAGCUGUGAUGUUUAAUAGGCUCAUUUUUAAAUAAACUAUAAAGACAUGCAGUUUAACAAUAUUUAGAAGCUAAAUCUUUUAAACCACACAGCUUAAAAGCAUGUUUACAUAUUAAAAGAAUGAGGGCGCUUGCACUAAAGGAACCCUCUCUCUCUCUCUCUCUCUCUCUCUAUAUAUAUAUAUAUAUAUACACACAUAUUAUUUAAAGUUGUUAGGACAACUACAUUGACCAAAAUAAAUUCGGUCGUUGAUCUUGAUGGACAAUAGCCAUUUUUAUCAUGUAUUCGGCUCCAACGUUACAUUGUCUCAUAGUUUUCGACUAAUUUUUUUGCACAUCACGAUUUUGUUUUACAUGUUUCGUAAUUAACGAUGAUUUCUAAGGAAAAAGUUGAGUAUAAUAAUACUAAGAAUAAUAAAAUGUGUAGUACACAAUGAAAAAUUUAAUUAUGGAGUUAAAUAAAAAAAUUGCGAUAGUGUAAUUGUUGAUGUUGAAAAACGACCUCAGUAACUGAAUUUAUUUUUUGGGGAAAACAACACGAACUGGUCCUGUUUUGCUGAGCCAACAUUUGUUGAUUCGAACACAACUCUCCACACCUACCAACCAUAAAACACGGUUGGGAAAUGCCAGUGGAGAUUAUAACAUAGAUCCUCUAAUGCUUAAAUAAGAUAUUUGGUAUAUACGGAAAGGAAAAUGAAUUGAGAAAAUUGGAUAUUAGCUAAAGUUCAAUAUGAUUUAUGAUGUUGUUGUUGAAGAUCAAGUAGAAAGUAGAGUGGUCAAAUAAUUGAUCUCUUGUGAGUCUUUAGUAAAAUUUGCUAAAUGCUUUCUUUGAUGUCCCAUCUAGCUUAAAUAGGUUUAUGCUCAUGGUAGUACUCAAUCGUAACUCACUCUCUCAGUAGUUGGGAGUAGAGAUGGCUAGCCCAGCAUAUGUGCCAUGCUCAAGCGUGCAAUGCCCACACGUGCCGUGCUGUGCCAUACAAAAAAGUUCAACAAUUUUUUUUUUAAAGGGCAUGCCAAGUUGUUAGGGGUGUUUUUUUUAGGUCUAUGUACUUUUUUUGGGUCCUUGUACCGUUAGUCAAAUUCAAUAGAACUAAAAGUUCAAAAUUAAAGUCUAUAUUCAGUAAUAAUAAAGUAAUAGUAGUAUCAGAAUGUUAUGCUAACUACUAAACUAGAUCCUAUCGUAUUAGAAUUCUUUUUAAUACUUAACAACAACAAUAAUAAUUUUUUCUUACGGGUUAACUUAACUAUUGCCUUGGACUUAUAUCGAGUCAUAGAUCAUAGUUCAUAAUAACAUUAAUAUAUAUAUAUUUAUAAAAUCGUGAUAUUUAUAGAUUACUUUAUUAAAAUCAUGAUAUCGUCUAUUCAUUUAAUAAAUUAUAAACAUAAAAAAAUUAGAGUUAAUUUUUUUUAAACUAAGAAUAAAAUGAAUUUAAAAAAACUAAUGCUAAGAAAAUAUAUUAAAAGAUUUAGUUCAAGUUAUCUGUAAAAUUAUAAAAUUUUAAGUUUACUUUCAUAAAAAAGUGAAAUGUGCUUAUUAGGGACCUUUUCACAUACUGUACUUUAGCACAUCUCUAAUCAUACCGUGAUUUUAAGGCUCAUAAGUCUAAAAUUCUUUGCCCAGCCCAGCCCAACCCACAUGCGUCCCGUGCCGUGUUGUGUGCCCUAUCAAGAUAUGCUCGCGUUGUGCUGUGCUGUACGGACAAGUGCCAUGCCACAUGCCGCUUAGUUCGUUGGCCAUCUCUAAUUGCGGGUAGUUUCUGUGAGUUAACGGUGGUUUAAAAAGUUGUGGUACUUAACUUAUUUCAAAAUACCACAAGUUUAGGCACAUUUGACUUGGUGACUUGGACAAAUAGAUUUCCAAGUCGGCUUGAUGAAUUCCACUCAUCUCAAUUCAUAAUUGUUUUGGUGAGGUCUACUCAUCUCAAUUUCUAAUCGGCUCUGCUCUUCUUAUUUCAUGGUCAGUGCUCAGGUCGACGUUAAUUCUAAUCGCCCUAAUGAAUGUGAGCUCAGGCUAAAUUAAUCUUACCCGUAAUGUUAGGAAAAUCCCACCCAAACAGUAACAUUCAGAAACUUGUCAUAAUGUAACAUUCUAAUGCAUAUAAUAUAGACUGAAAAAGAAUUGAUGAAUAAAUAAAUAAAGAUGGCGGCAAAGUUUGGGUGUCAAAACUCAGAGUCAAACUUUUGUAUUAAUAGAGAUUGUAAUUAAUUUCAAUACACUUGAACAAAUUUUUCUCCCAAGAAUUUGCCUCGUUUGAAAUAUUAGACGUAGCUUUAGUGCUUUUAGAAAUAGUGAAUCUAUGUCGUGAUUUCACAUUAUCCGAAAAUAGAUCUUCAAUUCCGAAUUCCUAGCCGCUUCCAUCAGCAAAAUCUAUCAACAAAAGUUCUCAUCAUUUCCAUCCUCUACCACUCAGAUCCAACCACCGUUUCUAGCAGGAGAGGAGGUACCUCUCGGCCACUUUUCAUUUUCAUUCUCAUUUUCAAGUUUUUUUUUUUUCUUGAACGCAUCAAGGCUUUUUUCUGAUUAAUUUCUCGAUAGGACUAUUCUAAUGAGAAUAUAUUUGCAUUGGAGGUUCUUGCAUCAACUUUAACACUAAUGCUGUGUUUACUUGUCAGUAAUCGGAAUGAGCUGGAAUCGGAAUGAGAAAUGUGAAUUAAAAUAAAUUGUUUACUUGACCUAUAGUAAUCGGAAUCGGAAUGGACUGGAAUCCCAUUAAGUGCAUAGAGAUUUCAAUAGCCUUGUGGCAGUGGUCUUUGUGUAGGUUCACUGAGAGGAACUUUUGUAGGGGUGAUUUGUGGUAUUUCAUUUUUGUAUUUUUAUUUUCAUUUGUAAUUUUUUUUAAUUUUCUUGUUUACCUAUUUUUGUAGUUUUUGUGAUGGUUUCACACAGAUGUUCAUUAGAGGAAUUAUUUGAAUAAUAUAAAUUUUCGUGAAACAAUUGCCUUGUGAUUUGACUUAUUGCUUGUUAGUAAUAUUGUUUAUCGUCAAUGGACGUAAAAAGUUAGAUUUGUUAUGCAUGGCACUAAGGCAGGAUUUUCAGAUUUAUUAUGGCAAUUUUCAGUUGUUCAAAUUCUUUUUAAAGGAUGGAAAAAUUUCAGUUCUAUUUGUCUCGUUUUUGUGUAAGUUUUUAUAUAGUUUUUAUAUGAAGCUAUGAUUGAUAGUUAUUAUAUAAGACUAUAUAAAUAGUUAAGUUUUAACUGGACAUUGAAAUAAAUAAUGUGUGACAUAUGCAAAUUCAUUAUUAAAAGCUUGUAACCAGAGAAAACAAAGAAAAAAGAGAAAAGAAGGCUGAAAUAUGUAAGAGACACAAGGAAAAUGAGGCUUAUCAGCCAUCUUUAUUCAAUAAAAUACAAAAUGACUUAAAUCUUGAUUAGAACCUUGACGCAAUCAGGUUGCUUUAACAGCUUAAUGGCUUCGUCCAAAUCUUCCAACAUAACCUGAUGAGUCAAAAGUUGGUCAACUUGAAGCUGCUUAUUUUUGCAUUUGUCAAGGAUAAUGGGUAACUCUGAUUUUGUUUUGAUCCCUCCAAAAAUGGUGCCCUUCAAGUUCCUUCCUAAGGCAAUCGCCAGAAAGUUGAGUGGCACUUUGUCUUCCAUUGCUGCUCCAAUUGCCAUCACUUUUCCUUUGCCCUGUUCACCAUUUCAAAUAUAACAACACUCCUAACAUCAUUCAUCAUCCUAAACAGGAUACAUAAAAGCCAAUUUGAUAGUUUAUUUUUAAAAUACAGAAUUUGAAAAUGAAAUUAGUAAAAAUUUGUUCGAUAGUUUGUCUGUAAAAUUACUAAAAAUAGAUUUAAAGCUUGCUGGAAAUGCUAAUUCCUUGGGUUUUAGUAAAGAAACAUACCAACUUGGUGGCUUCAAGGGCUUCCGAAAGUAAAGAUGUAACCCCAGUGCACUCAAACCCAUAAUCCACACCCGUUCCAUGAGUCAUUUCCUUGACCAAUUCUGAAAUUGAUUUAUUUGGUUCAUCAUCAGGAUUUAUAAAAUCCGUCAUUCCAAAAGCUUCUCCCUUGUCUUUUCUAUAUGGGUUCUUGUCUAUCCCAAUUAUUUUAGCUGCCCCUUGGAUUCUGGCUCCAUCGACCACCUGCAAUUAGAAAUUACGAUAACUACUAAAAUUAUUUUCAAGGAACUAGAGGAUGGUGUUUCUCAUUUUGUACAUGUAGUUACACACCCCUAAUCCAACAGCACCAAGGCCAAAAACAGCAACACUUGAUCCCUUUUCAACUUUGAAUUCCUUCCAAGCUGCGCCAAAUCCAGACGAGUAUCCACAUGAAAGGAAGCCAGCAAGUGAAAGAUCUAUACCUGGAUCAACUUUCACAGCAUAAUUGGCAUCAACCACCGUAUAUUCGGCCAUUGUGGAGCAUGUAAAUAGGUGAUACAAUUUUUGGCCUCUUAUGGACAUUCUUGAACUGCCGUCUGGCAUCAACCCAUUGAUGGUGAAUGGAUGUUUCAGGCAUAAAUUGGCCAUUUCUGAUGUGCAAUUUUCACAUUUUUUACAUUCUCCGAUGUAAGUUGGAAUCACAAUAUCUCCUUCUUUAAAUUCUUUCACUUCAUCACCAACACUCUCCACCACCCUGCAUUUCAUUGUUUAUUUAAAAAAAAAAAACCAAAACUAUUCUUUUAAUUUUAUGAUGCAUUUUGUGCAAUUAUGUAUACAUACAUAAUGAAGAAAUGUAGAGGGGAAUGGGGUUGCCGUUAGGCUAAACUAUAUAUAAUUAAAAAGCUGGUGUACUUACCCAACACCUUCAUGGCCAAGAACGCGAGGGAAAAGGGGCUGAAAAUAAAAAGAUCAAAAUUAGAAAAAUUCACUGGUGGUCAAACCAAGUAAUUUAAACAAAAAAUAUAAGUAUUGAAAGAGUUAUGUAUUACUGUUCAUUAACUAUGCAAUUAAUGUGAAACUGACCAAUGGGAAUCCUGUAGAGAAUAAGAAAUCAGUGUGACAAAUACUAGCAUAAAGCAUUUUAACUCUGACUUCAGUUGCUUUUGGAGGCUCUACUUGGAUCUCUUCCACUUUCCAUGGCUCUCCUUUUCCCCAACAUACAACAGCUGCAAAACGCAUAGAUAUUCAAAAAUUUUCCCAUAGAAAAUAACAGUUCAUAAAAAUUGAUUUUAGUCUGUGAAUUUACUAUAUUAAUUAAAACCUUUUUACAUACCUUUGCAUGUUAUGGCUUGUGAAAUGCUCAUCUUUAUUGCUGGAGACUUUUUUUUUUUUUUUUUUUGAUUGGUGGAGACUUGUUGAUUUUACAGCCUCAAGAGUUCAAACUAAUCUGUAGAGUUGAGCUUUGAAUCAGGCCUUUAUAUAGUGUUACGAACUCAUCUUGUAAGUUAAAGUUUUUAGUAUACCAUGGUGGACUUUGAAUUGUUUUCUUCAAUUUGGAUCCCCUCCCGGCGAAAUUCUAGAAUUUCUCUUAUGUAUUCUAAAAUAAAUGCACACAUGUCAUAAUAUCAUUUACUUAUUAUAUGACUGGCAUGGUGUCUCUGAUAUAGUCUAAAAUUUCUCCCACUCCUAAAAUAUUGAGUUGUGCUGAUAUUUUCGAACGUUUUGCCAUACUUGUAUUUUAGAAUAACGUGCAACGAAGAAUAAUGUGCAAUGAUGAUUAAUUACAUAUUAUUUUUUAUCCAAUAACAGGGCCGGCUUUAGAGUGUUUGGGGCCUUAGGCGAAAUUUUUUUAUGAGGCCUCUAUUUGUUUUGCAAUUUCAAUACUCAAAGAAAUAAAAAAAAAAAGGCUCAAAAUUUAUUUCAUUUGUAAUUCUUGAAUUUUAAAAAUAAAACCUAAAAAAAAAGUUAAGAAGAUAUUUUUUUAUUCCAUUAAAACUAUUACCAAAUAAACAAUCAAAUAAAUACGAAUAAUAUUAUUUUCAAAUAGGAUAUUUCGAAUGAUAGAACAUAAAAAGUUGAGGAUGAUGAAUUAAUGAUCAGAUAAUAGAAAUGAACUUUGUAUUUCUAUAAAUUGAUUUUUUUUAAAUGAACCAAUGAAUAUAAUAUUUUCCUUUCUAGAGAAGUGAGGAAGAAAUUUUUUCAUUUACUGAUUUUUGAGAUUACAAAUUUUUUAAUGGAAAUUAAAAGAAAUACUAAAAGUCAAAUAUUCUAACAUUAAAUAAUUAAUUUUUUUGAGGAAAUUGAAAAGAUAACUAAUUUAAUUUUUUUUGGAAAGACUAAUAAUGAAUGAAUUAAUGAUUAAAUAAUAUUAUUAGUUAUAUCUAUUUAACAUUAAUGUUAUCAAAUAUAGAUUUUUCAUAAAAAAUAAUUCUUAACUAUAUGAUAAUUAAUAAUUAGAGAGAUGUUAAUAAGCUUUUUGAUUUCCUAAAAUACGUAAUUUAAAAAAAAUGAGAAUUAUUAAAAAAAAUUCAAAAAAUGAGACCUUCACAAAAUAUGGGGCCUUAGGCGACAGCCUUGUUCGCCUAUACCUAAAGCCACCCCUGUCCAAUAACUAAGCAUCACAAUUAAAGGCGGCUCAAUUAUAUAUUAUCGCGGCCUUACGUGAAAAUAUAUUGGUUAGUCUCUUAUAUUUGAAGCAAAGUGAAGAUGUUAAUUCUGUAUUGCUAUGCCAAUGAAAAUAUUAAUAUUUUGUAAAAGAAACACUAAUAAUACUAAAGAGAAAAGUCUAAAAAAUAUGUGGUUCAGCACUUAACUUGCGUCCAUGGGUAUAGAAAGAGCAAAUUUUCAAUAUCAAAUAAGAAUACAAUGAAUUUUUUCCCCAAUGUAUAGCUAUUUGCUAGUGCCCCUCUAUACAUCAAGAGUUCUCUAUUUAUAAUACAAUUUAAAUAUCCAGAGUCUUUGAUAACUCCUUAUUCUAAUAAUCUUUAUCAUUUAAUUUGGAAUUUUAUUUGAUGUCAAUAUUUAUCUCAUUCAUAAAUCGAGCUUUAUCAUAUGUCAAUGUUUAUCUUUGGCAUUUAUCUCCUUCUUAGAUUCACUGUGAUUUGGGAGCUUCUAGAUUCUUCUACUGGACGUAGAUAAUGCUUCUAACCACUAGACCCUAGAUGUUGGAUGCAACAACUGGGCUUAUUUAAUUAAACUUAUCUUAGUUGUGCUAUCAUGCUCGCAUGUAGCUGUGUUCUCCUGCCGUCAUUUUUAUUUGACUUAUUUAAUCUCAUGUGGUUGUACUUAACUAUUAAGCUUGCAUGCUUUCAUGCUCUCAUGUAGUUAUGUGUAACUGACUUAUUAAGCUUCCUACUGAGUUUGAACACUCUUAUACUUUCUUGCUCUCAUGCUCUCAUGUAGCUGUAUUUAUUUGACUUAUUAAGCUUCCUGUUAGAGAGCUCUCAUGUCCUCAUGUUUUCACACUAUCAUAUAAUUGUAGUUAUUUGACUUAUUAACCUUCACGCUAUUGAGCAUGGAUAACUCUCCGUUCACUGUUAGACAAAGAAGAAAACCGUUCAAAAAAUAAAAUAAAAUAACAACGUGAUAGGGUCUUUUAUAUAUAUAUAUAUAUAUAAAGCAAAAACAUUUAUAAGUGUAUAAAAACGUUUGAGGCCUUUGUAGAAGUUUAGAAGGAAUGUAUAAGUAGUAUAACAUGUAUCAAAGUAGUAGUCAAUCAAAAGAAUAUUAAUCCUAAUAAUAUUUAGCAGGAAUUAUAAGCCAUUAUUACGUUUAAAGUUUUUGUGAGUGCAUCAUAUCACAUAAAUAAUGGGACCUUAGGAAAACACUUAAGUUGCCUAGGGAUGAGUCGUUCUUAACCACAAUAUUAAAAAGUUUCAUACUAAAUUGAACUUUUUUUUCCAUAUUUUCUUUAGCAUAUGCUCUUCUUCCCCCUAAGAAAUUAAAAUAAGAAUAUCAUUUCGUAAAAAUUAAGGUCGACCUCAAUUUUGUAUUUUUCAAUCGGGUUCUAGAUCUGGAGGAUUCAUACCCAUUUUUUAUUUUUUUUUGCAUUUUAAAUGUUUUGUUUAUUUUUUACUAUUAAAACCAAAGAGACAUUGCUAUGUUACAUUAGCUGUAACAUACAACCACCCAAAAACUUGUUUCUUUACACCUUUAAUUAUUGCUACUCAAACAAUUCAGGGUUUGUGGAAAACUAGUUUUAGGUGUGCAUUACCUGUUUCUUUACACCUCUAAUUUUUGCACCCAAAGUUGAAUUUUUGUACAUUACUUGGGGAGACCAAUUCAGGCAUUAGUUCGCUAAAAGGCAGAAAAGUGGGGUUCAUUAUAGAACCCACUCUUAUUUAGUAUCGAAGAAACUGAACACGAUAUGUAAUGUUACAGUGUUAAUUAAUUAUUUACCCUUUUCUUUUAAUGCAAUAUAAGUUUAUCAUAAAUUCUAUUUGCUCUAUCAAAACUAUUUAUUUAUUUUUGAUGAAAUAAAAUUUUAUUAAUCAUAAGAGACAGUCAACAUAGGACAUAACCACGGAGGUGGAACAUCCUUCCACUCUCCAGGACCUGACAUAAAACCCCUCACUCUAGCCAUAUUAUGGGCAUUGACGUUCGCAGAUCUACGCAUAAAAGAGAAUCUCACUUCCCCAACUAAUAGAGCUAAGGCUUGACAAUCCGUAAUAAUUAACCCAAAUCCAUUAGGACUAGUAUCAUGAGAAACUAAAGCAGAAUAAACAUUUAAGCAAUCAAUCUCAACAAUAAUUUUAGACAAUUGUAGAUUCUUUAUCCAACUAAGGGCUUCACGAACAGCCAAAGCUUCUGCCUCACGAGGGCGAAACAAUCCAGGCAAGCUUUGACACUUAGCUGCAACAAAAGCACCUCCAGAAUCUCUGAUCACCCCUCCAAAGCUAUAUCGACUUUGAGAACUAAAAACCCUUGCAUCCACAUUACACUUUAACCAGCCCGGAGGAGGCUUACCCCAACACACUGAGCCAUGGCCUAACUGAACUUGCUCAAUGGUGAUGAAAUUCUUCCUCUUGGCUUCUUGCCAAUGGAAAAGAUAAUGCCCAGCAACAUUUACUAAGUUUUGGGCACGCCCAUUGUGUCCAUUCCACACUUUGUCAUUUCUAUUAAUCCAAAGUCUCCAACACACCAUAACAGCCAGCUUGCAAUCUUCCUUACGACGUUUGAUAAAAAUUUGCUCAAUCCAUUCAAAGAAGGAAGAGCAUCUCCCACCCGUUCCAAGAGAAGACAAUAACCAGUAAGAUUGAGCAAACAAACAUUCCACCAAACAAUGGAAAACAAACUCAUUGGCAACACUACAGAUAGGGCAAAUUAGUGAAACUUCAACCUUCCUAGACAACAAGUAAUCCACAGUUGGCAAAAUAUUCAUCAAAGCACGCCAAAUAAAAUGUUUAACUUUACCUGGAACCUCCAGCCCCCAUAAGAACUUCCACACCUUACUGUUGGAAGCAUUAGAAACAGAAUUCAGCACAUUAUAGCAGCUUCUGACAAAAACUUGCCCUUUGGAUCAGCAAGCCAAAACCAACGAUCUUCAUUUUGUCAAGUGCUAAAAGGCACCUGUAGAAUCAAUGAUGCAUCCCUUGUGUUGAAAAUAUCCACAACCAAGUCGUUAUCCCAUUGCCUUUGACCCGGAACCAUAAGACUGUUCACCGUAGCUGUUGCAAGACUCUCAUCUAGGAUAGUGGUAAUGAAUCAAAACUAUUUAUUUAAAUACCAGUGCUCAUAAUACUAAAUUUUUGUAAGUUUUAAAAAUUUGUAGCUUGCUUUUGAUAUGCUACUCCAAUGCAAGUCUUCCUCGAUUAAUUGGCGGACAAUAUUGAUAUGGCUGACAACUAUAUUGACCAAAUUAAAUUAGGCUGGUAUCGUUUGGUAGUAUCUACUUAAGUUUUGUCUUUUUCUGGAAAUCAAAAGUUAUUAAAAAAAAAUUGUUUCGUUGAAUUGCAGUUCUUGGUGUUUGUUGAUAAAAAAUAUAACAGGUCUUGCUUGUUUCAAUAUUUUAAAUUUGUUAUAACUUUAAAGAUCAUAUAGAUAUUCUAAUUUUUUUCCAUCAAAAUAACGCUGAAAUUUUCCACUAAUUUUUAAUACUUAAGAUGCGUUUGAAAUUGAGGUUGGGCAACUAUAACUGAAACGAUAAAACAUUAAAGUGUUUGGUAAACACUAACUGCUGUACCUUGGAAGUUAUGUUAAUUUGAUUUUUCACCUACAUGAUGAAAAAUCUAUUAUAUCUUUAAUAAUUUUGUCAAAAUUAUUAUUUAAAAUUUAUAUCUACUAUUUAUUAUUAACUUUUAUUUUAUAAUUACAUCUUUUUUACAAUAGUUGUAACUUAAAAAUUACAGUACUUCAAUUUCAAACAGGACCUUAGAACACAGUUUUGUUUAUAACAAACUUUGUUUGAUUCCAAGAACCCAGAAAGUUUGUUGUUUGAUUCAGCAGAUUUUUUUCUUUUAGAAAAUUUAAUUUUGAUUGAUAUUGAUGAAGGGAAAAAAAUGUGGUGGAUUUUUUAAGUUAAUAUGAGAAGACGAUGAGCUUCAAAAUGCCACAAAUGUAUAGAUUAUUUUAUUUUUCCUUAUAAGGUGAAUUUUACAAAGAUGAAGAUAAAUGUGGGUAAUUUUAGAAUUAUAUUGGAAACUUUAUUAUAUUUCCUCCUUCUUUUUAAAUAUUUUUUGUUAUCCAUCUUCUUUAAACUGUGGAUUCUAAAUUACUAUUGUCAUAAGAUUGGUUGAUAUAAAUAAAUCAUACGGUCCUACUAUAUUUCUAAUUCAAAUAAUAAUAAUAUGUAAUUUUGUCAUAUCAACUUCUAUAACAUUGUUUGUACAAAAUAUUUUUGGUUGUAUCAUUAUUCAUAACGCAUUAACUAUGAUUCCCUUAAUGUUUUUGAAAGAGUAUCCUCUUACUUGAUCAUGUUUUUAUUUAAUGUUUUGGCUAUCCAACCAUGUUUUUUAGGAAUUACUAAAUCAAUUAUAAAAUUCCAUAAAAAGGAUCUUAUUCUUCAUUGAUUAGAGAUUUUUUUAUGAAGAAUACGAAUCAGAUUUUGAAGAAGGGGAAGUGCCCUCCACCCGCAGUAGAUACGCUUAAGUCUGACAAUAAAAUUAAAUAAUAAUAAUAAUAAUAAUAAUAAUAAUAAUAAUAAUAAUUUUUUUUUAUACACACACUCCCAUUAUUUAUUUUAUAAAAUAUAAACUAAAAAUAUAUAUGUUGAGAAGUGAACUACAAAUCUAUAUUUGUAGUUGAGUAUGACAUGUCAGUCUUGAGUUUCAGGACUGAAUGAUAUGUCGGUUAUGUGACACAAGUGAGUCGUAUGACAAGCCUGGUGGAUAAGCCAAAUGAAUAAGUUAAGCACGUGAUAUUGCACAUGCUUUACUUAUUCUAAACGACUGAAGAAGGUUGCGUUUUGAGUGAAGAUUCUAUACAUGUAUUGAAGCUAGUUUGAACGGCUGUUAAUGCUGUUAAGAUAAGCGGGAAAUUUCUGGGAUUGUUACCAACAAACCCAGGCCUGGUGAGUUGGUUUCUGGGGGUUGUUUCUAGAGCAAUUCAGGCGUGUAUAUAAGUCUUCUUCUUUUCAUUGUUGUAGUGCUGAAGUGCGUAAUAGUUUCUCAGGCAUCUUGUAUCUUGUAAACUCUAAAUCAGUGAAAGCUCUUUCUCUCUUUCACAAUGGAUGUAGGUCACUUGGUGGCUAAACCACUUAACCCUUUUGUGUUAGUGUGUGAUUGUUUCUCUAUUUUCUUUUGUUUGAUAUCUGUUGAUUUCAAUAAGUGGUUUCACGUAGCAUUGGUUUAUCGUAAUUAGUUCUUUGAUUAAGGCUAAGUCGAGUGGAUCUUGGGGGAUUAAGAUCGGUUCUUUGCUGGUCUUGGUCCAACAAAUUGGUAUCAGAGCAGACACUGCUUUCUUUAAUCUUAGAAAUAGGAUCAGCUAGGCUUGAGGUGGAAAAGUUCACAGGUGAAAAUGAGUUUCACGUGUGGAGGCUCAAGAUGAGAGCCCUGCUGGUGCAUCAAGGUUUGGAUAAAACUCUUGUUGAGGAAUCAUCUUCAAAGUAGCCAAGAAAGGUUUCUGAUGAGGAUCUAUCUGAUGUGUUAGACAGAGCUCAUAGUGCUAUAAUCUUGAGCCUGGGUGAUGGGGUACUUAGAGAAGUUAGUGGUGAGAUAACAGCUGCAGGGUUAUGGAAGAAGCUUGAAGAUUUGUAUACUAAGAAAUCAAUGGCUAAGAGAUUAGCCACCAAGAAAAAGCUUUACACGUUACAAAUGGAAGAAGGGUCAUCAAUUACAGACCACAUUGAUGCCUUCAAUAACAUCAUUCUUGAUCUUGAAGACAUAAAUGUAAAAAUUGAUAAUGAAGAUAAAGUUAUGAUCUUGCUGUGCUUAUUACCAAGCUCCUAUGAACAUCUGGUUGACACACUAAUGUAUAGGAGGCAGACCCUUACAAUGGUAGAUGUGAAGGAAACUUUGAGCUCCAAGGUUGCUACAAAAAGGGAAUCAAGAGAGGCUGAAUGUUUAAUGGCAAGAGGGAGAUCCGAAAAGAAAGAGAGCAACAAGGGCAAGAAGAAAAUAUCCAAAUCCAGGUCCAAGAACAUGAAAUGCUUCCACUGCCACAAGGAAGGCCAUUUCAAUAAGGAUUGCCUAGAAAGGAAGAAUAAGCCAAAAGAUAUAAAGGAGAAAAUUGGAGAUGCUGCUGGUGCUUCAGAAAGUCAAGAAUAUGAUGGAUAUGACUCAGCUAGAGUUCUCAUUAUGACUGAUGACCAAACCAUAGGUAAUUGGGUUCUAGACUCUGGUUGCUCCUUUCAUAUAUGCCCAAAUAAAAAAUUUUUUCUUAACUAUGAAGCCUAUGAUGGGGGAGUAGUAGUAAUGGGAAAUGAUGCAAUCUGUAGGGUAGUUGGGAAAGACAUAAUAAGACUAAAAAUGUUAGAUGGUAUGACAAGGGAGUUGGUAAAUGUAAGACAUGUACCUGACCUGAAAAGGAACCUAAUCUCCUUAGGCAUGCUUGAUAAAAUGGAUUGUCUUGUUAAGCUGGAAUCAGGUACCAUAAAGGUGAGAGGGUCAAUGGUAUUAAUGAAGGGAAGUUUAAGCAAUGGCCUGUAUGUGCUUCAAGGUACAGCAGUCAUAAGGGUUGUUGGAGUCUCAAACCAGAGCCUAGAUAAAACAAUGUUGUGGCAUUUAAGGUUAGGUCAUAUGAGUGAAAAAUGGUUGAGAGAACUAUCAAAGCAGGGAGUCUUAAGGAAGGACAAAAUAUAGACUUUGAGGUUUUGUAAAGAAUGUGUAUUAGGCAAGUCUUCAAGAUUAAAAUUCAGUACUGGAGUCUAUAACUCAAAGGGAACCCUAGACUAUGUCCAUGCUGAUCUGUGGGGGCUUGCACAGACAACAUCUUUAGAUGGAGCUAGAUAUUUCAUGUCUCUAAUAGAUGACUUUUCGAGGAUGGUGUGGGUUUAUGUGUUAAGAAACAAAGAUGAUGCUUUUGAGAAAUUCAAAAUCUGGAAGACUUUGGUUGAAACACAAACCAACAAAAAAGUUAGAAGGUUGAGAACUGACAAUGGGUUAGAAUUUUGCAAUAAGAGGUUUGAUGAUUUCUGUGCUGAUAAUGAGGUUGUAAGGCACAAAACAGUGAGACAUACACCUCAGCAAAAUGGAUUAGCUGAGAGGAUGAAUAGAACUUUGAUUGAUAAGGUAAGGUGCAUGCUUAUUCAAUCAAGACUACCUAUGUCACUAUGGGCAGAGACCCUAUCCACUGCCUGUUACAUUGUUAACAGGAGUUCAUCUUCUGGAAUCAACUUCAGAACUCCAAUUGAGCUUUGGACAGGUAAGCCAGCUGACUAUUCAAACAUGAGGGUAUUUGGAUGCCCUGCAUAUGUUCACACAAAGCAAGGGAAGCUGGAACCUAGAGCUCUUAAGGGUGUGUUUAUUGGCUAUCCAGAAUGGGUGAAGGGAUAUAAGCUCUGGCGAACUGAUUUCAAGCCACCAAAAGCCAUAAUCAGCAGGAAUGUGGUCUUCAAUGAGGCUGAAGUGUGCAAAUAUUCAGAAGCUUCAAAGACUAAAUCCAACCACCACAUGAGUGAGAACCACAAGUCUCAGUUUGAGAUGGAGUCAUCAACUCCAGUUGCAAAACAGAAGACCAUUGUUAAAUUAGAAUAUGAAGCUGGGAGGAAUAUGUCAGAAUCAGAGGCUGAAUCUGAAGAUGAUCAAGGUGACAUGAGUUAUCAACUUGUGAGAGACAUGGAAAGAAGGGUUAUAAGACCACCUAAGAUAUAUGCACAUGCAGACCUGAUUGCAUUUGCAUUGACAGCAGCACAUGAACUUGACUCAGAUGAACCAAAAACAUACUCAGAAGCUAUAAGAGGAAAUGAAUCAUAAAAAUGGAAGGUUGCUAUGGAUAAGGAGAUGCAGCCACUGUUCAAGAAUCACACUUGGACUUUAAUUGAAAAACCACCAAACAGGAAGGUAAUUGGCUGUAAGUGGGUUUACAAGGUUAAAGAAUGUAUACCAGAAGUUGAGCCAAAGAGAUACAAAGCCAGGCUUGUAGCCAAAGGCUUCAUACAAAAGGAAGGUGUAGAUUAUACAGAAAUCUUCUCUCUUGUAGUAAGGCAUACUUCCUUAAGGAUCUUAUUAGCACUUGUAGUAGUAAAUAACAUGCAUCUUGAGCAGAUGGAUGUUACGACUGCUUUUCUUCAUGGUGAGUUGAAUGAAAUGAUAGUGAUGAAACAACCAGAAGGGUAUGUAGAUCCUAGAAGACCUGAUCAUGUGUGUCAUCUCAGAAAAUCCUUAUAUGGGCUUAAGCAAUCCCCAAGACAAUGGUACUUGAGGUUUGACAGGUUUAUGCCUGAAAACAGUUUUUAAAGGUGUCUCUUUGAUUGUUAUGUGUAUCAUAAGGAUGUGGGAGAUGACAAUGAAAUUUAUUUGUUACUAUAUGUUGAUGACAUGCUGAUAGCAUGUAAACAUAUGGAUAAAAUAAAUAAGCUAAAACAGCAGCUGAGGGGUUCAUUUGAUAUGAAGGAUCUUGGUGAGGCUAAGAAGAUCCUUGGUGUUGAACUGAUCAGAGAUAAAAGGAAUGACACCUUAAUUCUAUCAUAGCAGAAUUACAUUAGAAAAGUGCUUGAAAGGUUUGAAAUAGGAAAAGCCAAGCCAGUUCAGACUCCACUACCAGCUCAUUUCAUACUGUCAUCACAACAGUGUCUAAAAACUGAUGUUGAAUGAUCUGAAGCUAGCUCAAUUCCAUAUUCAAGUGCAGUAAGAUUUCUGAUGUAUGAAAUGGUUCUGACCAGACUUGAUUUGUCAUAUGCAGUAAGUGUAGUAAGAAGAUAUAUAGCAAAUCCAGGGAAAGAACAUUGGAAGGCUGUGGUAUGGAUUCUGAGGUACCUUAAUGGCACCAUAAACUAUGGAUUGAUAUAUGGAACUGAUGGAAGGAAGGAAGUAAAUGUAGAAGGCUUUGUGGAUUCUGACUAUGCUGGAAACCUUGGUAAAAGGAGGUCAUUGACUGGAUAUCUGUUCAAACUAAGUGGUUGCACUAUAAGUUGGAAAGCUUCUUUGCAAAAUGUUGUUGUUUUGUCAACAACUGAAGCCUAGUACACUGUUGUAGCUGAUGCAAUAAAAGAACCUAUUUGGCUUAAAGGAAUAGUGACUGAUCUAGGGUAUGAACAGAGGCAAAUAACAGUUCAUUGUGAUAGUCAGAGUGCUAUAUGUUUAACCAAAAAUCAGAUACACCAUGAGAAGACUAAACACAUUGACAUCAAGCUUCAUUUUGUCAGGCUGGAAGUGUCAAAAUGAGUGGUAAAACUGGUGAAAAUACACAUUGAUGACAAUGUGGCAAGCAUGUUAACCAAAGCUUUACCUGGUGCCAAGUUUAAGUUCUAUGUGAACUCAGCUAGAGUCUGCAGGAUCUAAGCUGCAGAGGAUAUGGUGAUGGAGAAAAAAAGGAGUAACAGAUUUGGUUCAAGGUGGAGAAUGUUGAAAAGUGAACUGUAAAUCUAUAUUUAUAGUUGAGUAUGACAUGUCAGUCUUGAGUUUCAGGACUGGAUGAUAUGUCGGUUAUGUGACACAAGUGAGCCGUAUGACAAGCUUGGUGGAUUAGCCAAAUGAAUAAGUUAAGCACAUGAUAUUGCACAUGCUUUACGUAUUCUAAACAACUGAAGAAGGUUGUUUUUUGAGUGAAGAUUCUACACGUGUAUUGAAGCUAGUUUGAACGGCUAUUAAUGCUGUUAAGAUAAGCGGGAAAUUUCUGGGUUUGUUACCAACAAACCUAGGCCUGGUGAGUUGGUUUCUGGGGGUUGUUUCUAGAGCAAUUCAGGCGUGUAUAUAAGUCUUCUACUUUUCAUUGUUGUAGUGCUGAAGUGCGUAAUAGUUUCUCAAGCAUCUUGUAUCUUGUAAACUCUAAAUCAGUGAAAGCUCUUUCUCUCUUUCACAAUGGAUGUAAGUCACUUGGUGGCUAAACCACUUAACCUUUUUGUGUUAGUGUGUGAUUGUUUCUCUAUUUUCUUUUGUUUGAUAUCUGUUGAUUUCAAUAAGUGGUUUCACGUAGCAUUGGUUGAUCAUAAUUAGUUCUUUGAUUAAAGCUAAGUUGAGUGGAUCUUGGGAGAUUAAGAUUGGUUCUUUGCUGGCCUUGGUCCAACAAUAUAAAUAUACUUCUUUCAUCUCAUUAAACCAAAUAGUGCUAGUCUUAUAUUUGUACUGAAUUUUUUCAUGAAGCCGUGAUUGAUAGUUGUUAUAUAUAUAAAAAGUGCUUAUAUAAUAGUUAUUAUACAUACAAGAAAUGCAUGUGACAUAAAAUUAUUAAAAGAUAAUAAUGAGAUAAGCAUUGAAUCCAAUUCGAUUAGUAAAAGCUGACAAUAAAAGAAGACAGAGAUAUGUGUAAGAAACAAAAGCAAAUGACGCUUAUAAGAUUUCGAACUCAAUUUUUAAAGGGUAACACCAUUAAAAUCCUGAUAAAGACCUUAACAGAAUCCGUUUGCUUCAACAGUUGAAUUGCCUUGUCAAUCUCUUCCAAUUUAACAUGAUGGGUAAAAAAAAAAAAAAUGAUGGGUCAAAAGUUGAUGAAGUUUAAAUUCCUUUAUCUUGCGUUUGUAAAGCAGUAACAGAAGGUCAGGUUUUUUAAAUACUGAAUUUUUAAAACGGUAGCCCUUAAAGUCCGGCCACCACAUGCAAGAGCGAUUAUGUUCAGUGGGACGGAUCAACUCUUACACCAAUUAAAAUCACUUUUCCUUUUCCCCGUUCGCCACUUAAAAGGAGUGUUAGUAAUUAUUAUUAUAUUUUUUGCGUUACAUAUAUCAAGUCGUUAAAGAUUUUUAACCUACCACAUUUGUAAAGAUGGAAUGCAGUACACUCAAAGCAAUAAUCCACACCCAUUCCAUGAGUUAUCCCCUUCACUAAUUCUGAAAUUGACUUAUUUGAUUCAUCAUCAGGGUUUAUGAAAUCUGUCGCUAUUGGGGAAUUUUCCUAACAACGUAUCUUCACAGACCAAGAACUACGAGAUCGCCUCUUUCAUUUCAUUCUAGGGUAACGGAGGGAUCGUACCAUUCGAGCCUUUUUUUUUUCUCAUGCUAUUCCCGGAAGUCUGGAGAAAGCAGCAAUCAAUAGGAUUUUCCUAAUCCUCUCUUCCCGAAAGGACCAGGAGAUUGGAUCUAGCCGUAAAAAGAAUGCUUGGCUGAUAAAUAACUCACUUCUUGGUCUUCGACCCCCUCAGUCACUACGAACGCCCCCGAACGAUGCAAUGAGAUGUGUCUAUUUAUCUAUCUCUUGACUCGAAAUGGGAGCAAGUUUAAAAAAGGAUCUUAGAGUGUCUAGGGUUGGGCCAGGAGGGCCUCUUAAUGCCUUCUUUUUUCUUUUCAUCGGAGUUAUUUCACAAAUACGUGCCAUGAUAAGGAAGAUGGGGGGAACAAGCACACUUGGAGAGCGUAGUACAACGGAGAGUUGUAUGCUGCGUUCGGGAAGGAUUAAUCAAUCCCGAAAAUGAAUCUGUUGAUUCUCUCUCAAUUGGUUGGACCGUAAGUGCGAUGAUUUACUUCACGGGCGUGGUCUCUGGUUCAAAUCCAGGAUGACCCAGCUGCGCCAAGGAAAAGAAAAAUAAUAGAAGAAGCAUCGGACUCCUUCAUGUAUGCUCCAUUUGGCUCGGGGUGAUAUAGCUCAGUUGGUAGAGCUCCGCUCUUGCAAUUGGGUCGUUACGAUUACGGGUUGGAUGUCUAAUUGUCUAGGCGGUAAUGAUAGUAUCUUGUACCUGAACCGGUGGCUAACUUUUUCUAAGUAAUGGGGAAGAGAACCGAAACAUGCCACUGAAAGACUCUACUAAAACAAAGAUGGGCUGUCAAGAACGUAGAAGAGGUAGGAUGGGCGGUUAAUCAGAUCUAGUAUGGAUCGUACAUGGGCGGUAGUUGGAGUCGGGGGCUCUCUUAGGGUUCCCUCAUCUGGGAUCCCUACGGAAGAGGAUCAAGUUGGCCCUUGCGAACAGCUUGAUGCACUAUCUCCCUCCAACCCUUUGAGCGAAAUGCGACAAAAGGAAAGAAAAUCGAUUGACCGACCCCAUCGUCUCCACCCCGUAGAAACUACGAGAUCACCCCAAGGACGCCUUCGGUAUCCAGGGGUCGCGGACCGACCAUAGAACCCUCCUCAAUCAGUGGAAUGCAUUAGCUGUCCACUCUCAGGUUGGGCAGUAAGGGUCGGAGAAGGGCAAUUACUCAUUCUUAAAACCAGCAUUUUUAAGACCAAAGAGUGGGGGCGGAAAAAGGGGAAAGCUCUCUGUUCCUGGUUCUCCUGUAGUUGGAUCCUCCGGAACCACAAGAAUCCUUAGUUAGAAUGGGAUUCCAACUCAACACCUUUUGAGAGGAGUUGCUCUUUGGAGAGCACAGUACGAUGAAAGUUGUAAGCUGUGUUCGGAGGGGAGUUAUUGUCUAUCGUUGGCCUUUAUGGUAUAAUCAGUGGGGGCCUGGAGAGGCGAUAGUUUACCCUGUGGUGGAUGUCAGCGGUUCGAGUCCGCUUAUCUCCAACUCGUGAACUUAGCCGAUACAAAGCUAUAUGAAUAUGAUAGCAACCAAUUUUUCCGAUUCGGCAGUUCUAUUUAUGGUUUAUCAUUCAUGGACGUUGAUAAGCUCCUUCCAUUUAGCAGCACCUUAGGAUGGCAUAGCCUUAAAGUGAAGUUAAGGGCGAGGUUCAAACAAGAAAAGGCUUACAGUGGAUACCUAGGCACCUAGAGACGAGGAAGAGCGUAGUAAGCGACGAAAUGCUUCAGGGAGUUGAAAAUAAGCGUAGAUCCGGAGAUUCCCGAAUAGGUCAACCUUUCGAACUGCUGCUAAAUCCAUGGGCAGGCAAGAGACAACCUGACGAACUGAAACAUUUUAGUAGCCAGAGGAAAAGAAAGAAAAAAUAAUUCCUGUAAUAGCGGUGAGUGAAAUGGGAGCAGCCUAAAUCAUGAAAACGGGGUUGUGGGAGAGCAAUACAAGCGUCGUGCUGCUAGGUGAAGCGGUAGAGUGCUGCACCCUAGAUGGCAAGAGUCCAGUAGCCGAAAAUAUCACUUGCUUACGCUCUGACCCGAGUAGCAUGGGGCACGUGGAAUCCCGUGUGAAUCAGCAAUGACUACUCUCCAAGUGUGCUUGUUCCCCUCAUCUUCCUUAUCAUGGCACGUAUUUGUGAAAUAACUCCGAUGAAAAGAAAAAAGAAGGCGUUAAGAAGCCCUCCCGGCCCAACCCUAGACACGCUAAGAUCCUUUUUCAAACAUGCUCCCAUUUCGAGUCAAGAGAUAGAUAAAUAGACACAUCUCAUUGCAUCGCUCGGGGGCGUUCGUAGUGACUGAGGGGGUCGAAGAUCAAGAAGUGAGUUAUUUAUCAGCCAAGCAUUCUUCUUACGGCUAGAUCCAAUCUCCUGGUCCCUGCGGAAAGGAAAAGGAAAAGGAAUUUCACGUUCUUCCUUUCGGGAAUGGAGGAUUAGGAAAAUCCUAUUGAUUGUUGUUUUCUCCAGACCUCCGGGAAAAGCAUGAAAAAAAAAAGGUUCGAAUGGUACGAUCCCUCCGUCACCCCAGAAUGAAAUUAAAUGGGCGAUCUUGUAGUUCUUGGUAUGUGAAGAUACGUUGUUAGGUGCUUCAUUUUUUUUCCCAUUGAGACCGAACCUAAACCUGUGCUCGAGAGAUAGUUGUCCAUACACUGAUAAGGGAUGUAUGGAUUAUCGAGAAGAGAGGAGUUGUGGUGGUCCCCCCCGGACCGCCCGGAUCCCACGAGUGAAUAGAAAGUUGGAUCUACAUUGGAUCUCCCAUGAAUUACCCCAUUUAUCCUCCUGAGGAGGAGUUUGUUUUCAAACCCCCGGUUCGAACAGGAGAAGUACGCCAUGCUAAUAUGCCUUGGAUGAUCCACAUCUCAGGGUCAGGCGCUGAUAAGCACAUUGAACUAUCCAUGUGGUUGAGAGCCCUCACAGCCCAGGCACAACAACGCAAUUAUGUGGGGCGCGCUCUACCACUGAGCUAAUAGCCCGUCGUGCGGGCCUCCCGCUGGGGGCCCACUAUGCCAAAAGCGAGAGAAACCAUAUCCCUCUCUUUCCUUUUUACGCCCCCAUGUCCCUCCCGUGUGGCGACAUAGGGGCGUAAAAGGGGGAUCCUAUCAACUUGUUCUGACCUAGGAUAAUAAGCUCAUGGGCUUGGUCUUACUUCACCGUCGAGAAACGAAAGAAGACUUCCAUCUCCAAGUUUAACUUAGGCAUAGCUCGUUUCUUUUUUGGUGUGAAACGGUGUCAAACCAAAAUACCCAACAAGCAUUAGCUCUCUCUGAAAAUGAGGUGAUCCAGCCGCACCUUCCAAUACGGCUACCUUGUUACGACUUCACUCUAGUCACUAGUCCUGUCUUCGGCAACCCCCCCCCUUUCGGUUAAGGUAACGACUUCGGGCAUGGCCAGCUCCUAUAGUGUGACGGGCAGUGUGUACAAGGUCCGGGAAUGAAUUUACCGCCGUAUGGCUGAUCGGCGAUUACUAGCGAUUCCAGCUUUAUGCAGGCGAGUUACAGUCUACAAUCCAAACUGAGGACGGGUUUUUGGAGUUAGCUCACCCUUACGGGAUCGCGACCCUUUGUCCCGGCCAUUGUAGCACGUGUGUCGCCUAAGGGCAUAAGGGGUAUGAUGACUUGACGUCAUCAUCACCUUCCUCCGGCUUAUCACCGGCAGUCUGCUCAGGGUUCCAAACUCGACGGUGGCAACUAAGCACGAGGGUUGCGCUCGUUGCGGGACUUAACCCAACACCUUAUGGCACGAGCUGUGUCCGCGUUUCCGAAGGCACCCCUCUCUUUCAAGAGGAUUCGCGGCAUGUCAAGCCCUGGUAAGGUUCUUCACUUUGCAUCGAAUUAAACCACAUGCUCCACCGCUUGUGCGGGCCCCCGUCAAUUCCUUUGAGUUUCAUUCUUGCGAACGUACUCCCCAGCCGGAAUACUUAACGCGUUAGCUACAGCACUGUACGGGUCGAUACGCACAACGCCUAGUAUCCAUCAUUUACGGCUAGGACUACUGGGGUAUCUAAUCCCAUUCGCUCCCUUAGCUUUCGUCUCUCAGUGUCAGUGUCGGCCCAGCAGAGUGCUUUCGCCGUUGGUGUUCUUUCUGAUCUCUACGCAUUUCACCGCUCCACCGAAAAUUGCCUCUGCCCCUACCGUACUCCAGCUUGGUAGUUUCCACCGCCUGUCCAGGGUUGAGCCCUGGGAUUUGACGGCGGACUUAAAAAGCCACCUACAGAUGCUUUACGCCCAAUCAUUCCAGAUAACGCUUGCAUCCUCUGUAUUACCGCCGCUGCUGGCACAGAGUUAGCCAAUGCUUAUUCCCUAAAUACCGUCAUUGCUUCUUCUCCGAGAAAAGAAGUUCAUGACCCGUGGGCCUUCUACCUCCACGCGGCAUUGCUCCGUCAGGCUUUCGCCCAUUGCAGAAAAUUCCCCAUUGCUGCCUCCCGUACGGUUGUUCAAUUCUAUCUUUUUCUUUAUCUCUUCCCCUCGCCGAAUCGUGUGAGAUAGAGGAACCUUUUAUUAUGUUAUAACAUAUCAUCAGGGUCAUGAUCCAUCAACCUAUUAGCGCUUUUUAUGGGGCACAAACGGGAGAAUUUAUCCUGGAUACGGAAGAACUACUGAGACUGCGCGAAAUCCUUACAAUGGUUUAUGUACAAAGAUCGGGCAAGCCCUUAUGGUUUGUAUCCGAAGACAUGGAAAAUGAUACUUUUAUGUUAGCAACAGAAGCCCAAGCACAUGGACUUGUUGAUCUUGUAGCGGUUGGAUAAAAUAUAUCAGUCACUUCUUAAAGGUUUAAUAUUCUAUUAAACAGAAGAAAUUCAUAAUCAUCCGAUUAGGAUCGAUUUAAACCAGCCCAUAAUGGAUAAUUCAGCAUGCCAACUAUUAAACAACUUAUUAGAAACCCAAGACAGCUAAUCAGAAAUGUUACCAAAUCGGAACCCCAUUUUUUACCUUGAAUUGGUCAAAAUAUGCAGAAUUUCUUACUUUUCGUGGCGGAUUAGAUCCAGUAACUGGGGGUCUAUGGUUGAUCGAUAUUGCACACCAUCAUUUAGCUAUUGCAAUUCUUUUCCUGAUCGCGGGGCACAUGUAUAGGACCAACUGGGGGAUUGGUCAUGGGACGAAAGGAUUCGAACCUCCGAAUACUGGGACCAAAACCCGUUGCCUUACCACUUGGCGACCCCCCAUUUCAAUUUCGAUUUGGUACUAAUAAAGAGUACCAGUGGUAUUGGCUGUUCGUCAAUUCCAGUCCAAAGCCCCAAAAUUAGAUUAUGAUUUUAGUGUUAGGAUUUUGACACAUGUAGGUAAAGAUGGCCAAUGGGCCGGGCGGCACGUGGCACGGCACGUGUCCGUACGGCACGGCACGGCACGAGCACGUUUCAGUGAGGCACGAGGCACGGCACGGCACGCACGUGGGUUGUGCCGGGCCUAGAAUUUUAGGCACGCGGGCCUUAAAGCACGGCACGAUUAGAGAUGGGCCAAAGCACGGCACGCGAAAAAGCACGUAAUAAACACGGUUCAUUGGUGGGCUAGCACGCGGCCCGUGAGCCAUUAAUAGCACGUGGGCCAAAAUAUAUCUAAGUAAAUUUUUUUAACAAAAAGUAAAUAUAAAAUGUUAUGAAAUUAAAGUAAAAUAUCUUGAAAUUAAAUGUUUUAAUAUAUUUUUUAGCAUAGACUUUUAAAAAUUAAUUUAAAUCAUUAAAUCUUAGUUUAAAUAAAUAUUCUAAUUUCUUAUGUUUAUAAUUUAUUAAAUGAAUAAGUAAAUAUCAUGAUUUUAAUAAAUAAAAUUAUAAAUAUCAUAAUUUUAUUUAUGAUAUUUAUUAAAUGAAUAAUGUUAUUUAUGAUAUUUAAUUUUAUUUAUGAUAUUUAUUUAAUUAUUUAUUUAUGUUUAUAAUUUAUUAAAUGAAUAAUUAAAUAACUAAAUAUCAUGAUUUUAAUAAAUAAAAUUAUAAAUAUCAUAAAUUUAUAAAUUAUAAAUAAAAAAUAAUUUUUUUUACAAAAUUAAUAAUAAAAUAUUUUUCAUAUGAAAUAUUUUUCAUAUUAAUAUGAAAUCAUAACUUGUAAGUUGUGACCUAUGAUUUGUUAUAUUAAUAUUUCGUAGUUAUGACUUAUUGUAAUGAUUAUUCGAGGAUUGUAUUUUUAAUUUUAAUUAAUUAUUAUUAUGAUCUAUGGAAUUAAAUUUAAUUAAAUUUAUGUAUUGUUGUGUUAUGAAUUAUGAUUGAUUAUUGUGAAAUAAAAUAUAUAGUUGUGAAAUUGUGAUAAACUAAUAAUAAAAUGUUAAUUGCUCUCUUAAUAAAAAUUAAUAUGAUUAUGAUUAUGAAUAUUAUUAUUAUUAUUAUUAUUAUUAUUAUUAUUAUUAUUAUUAUUAUUAUUAUUAUUAUUAUUAUUAUUAUUAUUAUUAUUAUUAUUAUUAUUAUUAUUAUUAUUAUUAUUAUUAUUAUUAUUAUUAUGUUGAUGGGCUUAAAAAAGCACGUCAGACACGUGGGCUUGAAUAAAGCACGCCAGACACGACAGUUGCCAGCACGGCCCAUUGGCCAUAGUUACAUGUAGGUGUAAAAUACAACUUAAUUUAUUGAUCAUUACAUAGAAUUCAAUUAAGAUAUUGUAUGAAAGUAUGAUUUCUUCAAUUCUCACACGAGAAUUGAAGGAUUUUUGUUUUGAUUGGGUCGGUUCCAAGAAGUUUUUUUUGUCUACCUUACUUUCUUUUCUUUAUUUUUAUCUUAUAUCAAUAAGAUAUUAAUAACUCAAUCAAAAUAAAAUUAUCUCCAAGAACAAAAUGUUUGUUAUGCUUAAUAUCUUUAGUUUAAUGUAUAUAUGUCUUAAUUCUGCCCUUUAUUCGAGUAGUUUUUUAUUCGCUAAAUUUCCCGAGGCCUACGCUUUUUUUAAUCCAAUUGUAAAUGUUAUGCUAGUAAUACCUGUUCUAUUUUUUCUCUUAGCCUUUGUUUGGCAAGCUGCUGUAAGUUUUUGAUAAGAUCUUUAAUAUUGUGCUAGAAAAAUUCAUGAUUUAUUCUAGUUCGAAAAAAAAAUUCUAACAAUUAAUAAAUAAGAGCAUAUGAGUCUUACAAUAUGAACGAAUCCCCGCCUCGAUUCAAACAAUGAAAUUCUUGGGGAACCGCGAUCUAUUUUGAUCCCCCAUUUGCUAUUUGCAAUUUGUUGAUUAUGACCCUUUUUCACUGAAACCAUCUUAUAUUAGACCCAACCAAAAUGUAGAAUUCUAAUUGUGUGAAUUUAAUUUAUAAAAACGAUUUUCUAUUUAGAGAAUCAAAUUCUAAAAAGAACUUCAUUUCUUGAUGUCAAAAUUUGAUAUGUAGUAUAAAAAUAGAGAAUCUAUUCUCUUUUUCCUUUUCUCUAAAAACCUGAUUUGGAGAGUGUGUAAUGCUUACUCUCAAACUCUUUGUUUACACCGUAGUGAUAUUCUUUGUUUCGCUCUUCAUCUUCGGAUUCCUGUCUAAGGAUCCAGGGCGUAAUCCCGGACGCGAAGAAUAAAAAAGGAAGGAGUUGCUUACUUUAUUCGUAUAAACGUUCUUAGGAUUUUUUGAUUCCCAAUUACUAUUAAAAUCAACGAAAAGUGUUCGCUAAAGUGAAAUUUGAAAAAUACCAAGCCAUCGCCCGAAACGGAAAGAGAAGGAUUCGAACCCUCGGUACAAAUAACUCGUACACCGGAUUAGCAAUCCGACGCUUUAAUCCACUCAGCCAUCUCUCUUAAUUGAAAAAAGAAAUUACUAUGUUACAUUACACAAAAAAUAAUGCUUGAAAAAGUCCGUCUUUACUUGAUUUUCUAUCUUUACUUUCUAUAUUCUCUUCUAUAUUCUCUUCUAGAGAAUAUAGAAAGUAAAUUGAUUAUAUAGCUCAUAGAAAAUAUAGCUUAUAGAAGUUUUUUUUAUUGUCUUUUGUAUUCUAUUAUAUAAAUAGAUAUAACUUUUAUCAGCAAUUCCAUUUCUAUCAUUUUUAGAAAAUUAAAAUAAAGAAAGUAUUCGAAAGAGAUAAAAUAGAAAAAAAUAAAGAAAAGAAUAUCUCUUUAAUUUCGUUCAACAGGGCCUUUUUUAUUUCCACUUCCACGACCUGGUCUGGUCAGU